UAGGGAAUCUUCGGCAAUGGGGGGAACCCUGACCGAGCAACGCCGCGUGAGUGAAGAAGGUUUUCGGAUCGUAAAGCUCUGUUGUAAGAGAAGAACGGUGGUGUGAGUGGAAAGUACACCAUGUGACGGUAUCUUACCAGAAAGGGACGGCUAACUACGUGCCAGCAGCCGCGGUAAUACGUAGGUCCCGAGCGUUGUCCGGAUUUAUUGGGCGUAAAGCGAGCGCAGGCGGUUGUAUAAGUCUGAAGUAAAAGGCAGUGGCUCAACCAUUGUGUGCUUUGGAAACUGUGCAACUUGAGUGCAGAAGGGGAGAGUGGAAUUCCAUGUGUAGCGGUGAAAUGCGUAGAUAUAUGGAGGAACACCGGUGGCGAAAGCGGCUCUCUGGUCUGUAACUGACGCUGAGGCUCGAAAGCGUGGGGAGCAAACAGGAUUAGAUACCCUGGUA
rnacentral:rRNA from 1 species